UACGUAGGGGGCAAGCGUUGUCCGGAAUUAUUGGGCGUAAAGAGCGCGUAGGCGGUCUGAUAAGUCGGUUGUGAAAGUCGGGGGCUCAACCCUCGGAUGCCGAUCGAUACUGUCAGGCUAGAGUCCGGAAGAGGCGAGUGGAAUUCCUGGUGUAGCGGUGAGAUGCGCAGAUAUCAGGAGGAACACCGGUGGCGAAGGCGGUUCUCUGGGCAUUACCUGACGCUGAGGAGCGAAAGUGUGGGGAGCGAACAGG
rnacentral:rRNA from 1 species